UAAAGCGUAAAAGAGCGUAGAGUGAAUGCCUUGGCAUUGGGAGCCGAAGAAGGACGUGGUUAACUGCGAAAAGCUACGGGGAGUCGUAAGCAGACAUUGAUCCGUAGAUGUCCGAAUGGAGCAAUCCGCAUGGAGUUAGUCCAUGCAUCCAUAAGUGAAUUCAUAGCUUAUGGAGGGGAACCGCCUGAACUGAAACAUCUAAGUAGGGCGAGGAAGAGAAAUCAAACGAGAUUUCGUAAGUAGUGGCGAGCGAACGCGAAAGAGGCUAAACCAAGAGAAGAAAUUCUUUUGGGGUUACGGACUGCGAUAUGUAUCUGAGGACUUAGCAGAAUGGUAUGGGAAAGCCAACCAGAGAAUGUGAUAGUCAUGUAUGCGAAAAGGAAUCAGAGCUAGCAGGAUCCAAAGUACCGCGGGACACGAGGAAUCCCGUGGGAAGUCGGGGGGACCACCCUCCAAGCCUAAAUACUACCCAAUGACCGAUAGCGAAAAGUACUGUGAAGGAACGGUGAAAAGAACCCCGGGAGGGGAGUGAAAAGAACCUGAAACUCUAUGCUUACAAGCACAUAGAGCACGUCAAAGUGUGAUAUGGUACCUUUUGUAGAAUGGUCCGGCGAGUUAUUGUAUGCAGCAAGGUUAAGGUCUUCAGGACUGAAGCCGAAGCGAGAGCGAGUCUGACAAGGGCGAUAAGUUGUAUGCAAUAGACCCGAAACCGGGUGACCUAGCCAUGUUCAGGUUGAAGUGGAGGUAAAGCUCCAUGGAGGACCGAACCGACCUCCGUUGAAAAGGCGGCGGAUGAAAUGUGGCUAGCGGAGAAAUUCCAAUCGAACCCGGAAAUAGCUGGUUCUCCCCGAAAUAGCUUUAGGGCUAGCGUUGUAUUAGAUUUCUGGGGGUAAAGCACUGAAUAGGCUAGGGGCCGAGAGGUUACUGAACCUUAUCAAACUAAGAAUACCAGAAAAUUGAUGUACAGCAGUCAGACUAUGUGAGAUAAGUCUCAUAGUCAAAAGGGAAACAGCCCAGACCCACAGCUAAGGUCCCAAAACAGAUUUAAGUGGAAAAGGAUGUGGGAUUGCCCAGACAACCAGGAUGUUGGCUUAGAAGCAGCCACACAUUAAAAGAGUGCGUAAUAGCUCACUGGUCGAGUGAUCCUGCGCCGAAAAUUCAACGGGGCUAAAAUUUGUACCGAAGCUUGGGCUUGAUACUUCGUAUCAGGGGUAGGGGAGCGUCAUGUAUGAGGUGAAGUCAUAGCGGAAGCGGUGGUGGAUUGUACAUGAGAGAGAAUGCCGGAAUGAGUAGCGAGAAUUAUGUGAGAAUCAUAAUGGCCGAAAAUCUAAGGUUUCCUGAGGAAGGUUCGUCCGCUCAGGGUAAGCCGGGAGCUAAGGUGAGGCGGAAACGCGUAGCCGAUGCACAUACGGUAGAGAUUCCGUAGCCUCCGAAAAGUAAAGCACAGGGACGCUUCAGAAGUGUUACGCCGGGCGAUGGUUGCCCCGGUUGUAAAGGACACAAUUGAGUGGAAGGUAACAUGGAUGGAGACAAGAAAAGCUGUGUGUAUCUGGAAGGAGCCCGUACCGCAAACCGACACAGGUAGAUAGGAAGAAGAUUCUAAGGCCAGCGGGAGAAGGGUUGUUAAGGAACUCGGCAAGUUGACCCCGUAACUUCGGGAGAAGGGGUGCUUACGAAGGUAAGCCGCAGAGAAUAGGCCCAAGCGACUGUUUAGCAAAAACACAGCUCUAUGCUAAAUCGAAAGAUGACGUAUAUGGGGUGACACCUGCCCGGUGCUGGAAGGUUAAGAGGAGAUGUGAGAGCAUUGAAUUGAAGCCCCAGUAAACGGCGGCCGUAACUAUAACGGUCCUAAGGUAGCGAAAUUCCUUGUCAGGUAAG
rnacentral:rRNA from 1 species